UACGGGGGGGGCAAGCGUUGUUCGGAAUUACUGGGCGUAAAGGGCUCGUAGGUGGCCAACUAAGUCAGACGUGAAAUCCCUCGGCUUAACCGGGGAACUGCGUCUGAUACUGGAUGGCUUGAGAUUGGGAGAGGGAUGCGGAAUUCCAGGUGUAGCGGUGAAAUGCGUAGAUAUCUGGAGGAACGCCGGUGGCGAAAGCGGCGGACUGGGCACCUUCUGACGCUGAGGCGCGAAAGCCAGGGGAGCAAACGGG
rnacentral:rRNA from 1 species